UUUAUUUCCAAUCCUUUACAAUUCUUCAAGAUUUCCACCUUUGUCUCAAAUCCUUCAUCCAUCAAGUCUCACAAUCUGGUUCUACGUCUAGAGAAUAGUGGAUCAACAUUAAUGAUGGUUCCAGUUCAUGAUUGAGGAGAAGACGAGUAAUACAGUAUCCACGAAGGUUGUAAUUUCAUCAAUCGGUAGAGAGAAAAGCUAGAAAUUUGGCAAAAAAAAUUGUGCAGACCCGAAUUCAAGACUUCAGACUCGAUUCAGACCCGGAUCGCAAGACCGGGCUCGCUCCGCGCGCUUCACGCCUGCCUAUCGACCCAAUUGUUGGCCACUCUACGCGCCCGGCUCAGUCCAAACACGCUUGGCCCAGCCUGCGAGCCAACAUUCCGGACGCCUGACGACCCAAGCGCCCAACUCGCGAUCCGACCCGGGUCGUGCCUCGCGCCCAUGCGCCCGCCUCGUAUCCCUAGUUUUCUUUUGUCACGAGUUCACUUUGCCCAACCCAUGAUCCGAUCCGACCGGUUCACUUUGCUUGUGCGACUAGUGAAGAUUAUUUGAUGGAUUUUGGGUCGGUUCAACCAAUCUUAGAUUGGUUCACCUUAUUUUUAUUUUGGGUCACUUCAAGCUAGUUUUGAUGGUUUUUCCAUGAUUGAGUGGCUUAGAAGUGGUUUUGUACUACAUCAAAUUAUUGUUGUAAUAUUUUAGUACUUACCUUAAUUUAGAAGUUAAAACCAGUCUAUUUUAUGGUGUUUUAAUUAAUUAUGCAUGUUCAUA